GAAACUGACACAGCACUGUAAAGCAAUUAUACUCCAAUUAAAAAUAAAUAAAAUGGAAAAAUUAAUUAAUUAAAACCCAAGAGCCAACUAUUUUCUCUUGAGCUUUCAAUACAGGGGUUCUCACACAGUACUGAAUAGUGGCAUAUUUCCUGAUGAAUGAGACUACCAAAGGUUCAGAUGGACGCUGAAAGCUAAAUGGAAGUGCAUGUUUUCCAGGCUGUAGUAAGCCGACGCCUUCUCCGACUCAGGCACACGGUCAGGUACUCCACCUGUGCAGGCAGCGGGGACUCUUGAGUUUCCAGGCACAGCAUGCAACCUUGGCUCCUCAGCAUCCAGCUUCCAGCCCCAGAUGCACACUGAAGCCGCACACUGAGCUGCACGCUGAGCCGCACACUGGGGCCCCAGGGCACUGCACAAGUUAUGUGUUAUCCCCUAAUAAAUUACUUUAUGUUUACAUGAUUGAGCUAUCCCAUUUCUGUUCCUAAAAACCAUCAAAAGAAAUACGACAGUGGCACCAGUCAACAUUAUAUUUACUUAUUGCAAUCUGUUUAACAAUCAUAGUGGAAUAAAUCUAGAUUUCCUUAAUAUGUAAAUACUCAAAUUUUUCUUUUUGUUUUCAGGAUAUUUUGAGAAUGUUUGUUUUAUAUGUAUUAGUUUUUUAUUUACUUUAACCAUCAAGUAAGUAAUGGUUAAGUAAGUAAUAAAGAUACAAUUUAUUAAAUAACAGAGAAAUUCCCAAAUGCCUGUGAUGAAUUCUUCCACGAUUGCUAAACGGAGAGGUUUUCUUGUAAUAGCAUCUGUCCCAGAGAAUCCUCCAAUGAAGGGUCUCAGCGGAGAGGAGGGGUCCUGGGGGCGAAGGCGGCCGGAGAGACAACCUAGAGUCUUUCUGUCCAGUGCGUGGGGCGUCUGUUGGUGUCUCUCCAGAUCAGGAAGAGGGCGAUGCUCCGGAAGGGUGUCCGUGUUUUGGGCAAUGUGGGCGCAGAAGCCUGCAGGGAGGAGAAGGUUCUUCCGGAUUGAAGUCCUCCUCGUCCGGAGAGAGUUCGCCCAGCCUAGGAUAGCAAGGGAGCUGCCAUUCCUUAGGGUUCACUGAGCGCAGGAGCUGCCGCACCUCUGGUUCCCAGGGCUCCUGCGCGGAAUCCCAGGCUUCGCGCACACAGCGGGGAAAGUGCUCCAUCGCUUCAGCGGGUGAGAAGACAAGUCUUCAGGGACCCCUUCCUUGCGAAUUUAUAGUGUUCUGGGCUCUUAGGCGUCCAACCACAGGCUAUUGGGGUGGGUGGUUGCAAAUUGCUUCAGAAGGUGGGAUCUGAGAAGAUUAAGGGUAAAUUCAGUCAUCUUCGAUGGAGUUAUUAGAAUUUAAGUUGAUUUUGUUGAUUUGAGAGGAUUAAAACGUUCGUUGUUUGUUUAAACGAAAUCGGGGCUCUGUCAAGAAAAGCUAUUUGGGAGGCUACUUUUAGGUUACUAUAUCCAUUAAUUCUCAGGGCCUUUUGCCUAGAAACAGAGUAUCAUUAGAUUUUACCGAGAUGAUCAAAAUGUGGCCAUCUUUGCAUGAAACCACACUGCUGGUCAGACUUUCCCUUUGGUCUUCAAUUCUAAGUUAAAACUGCUUCAGACUUUCAGCCAACAAGUAGAAGUGUCAGGGUCAAGAUCUACAGAUUUAGAUGCAGAGUCUUUGGUAGAAGAUACUCAGCUAGUUGUCUAACCUCUCUUGUCUUCAUAGUCUUACCUGGAUGGUAGCUGAAGUUUAACAUUUUAAAGGCAAAUUUUUUGAUUAAAUUCAUUAACCAAGGUCAGGUAAUUACAUAGUCCCAGGCAAAAUAAUAAGUUGCUCCAUUACAGUUAUUGUGAUUUUCAUCAUCAUUCUUAGUGCUAUAAUCAUGGCUAUUAAACAAGACAUCAGUCAAUAGCAAACUCAAAAUGUUGUCUCUUUCUGUGUUUAAUCGUAGUGGUUUGGUUUUCCCUUCUAGUGUCAGAUGUAUAGUGAAAUUGAAUCUCCUUAUAUCCUUCCUCAGAUGUUUCAGACAUUGUCUUGGCAAACAUGUCAGUGCAUCCAAGCCUAGAUGUCCUUGGUCAGUCAUUUAUCUUCAACUUAACAAAGUCAGUUUAAUUCAAAGCAUUUUAAACAAGCGUGUUUCCACAACCUGCUGUGAGCAAGGAGCU
ensembl:lncRNA